GAUGAACGCUGGCGGCGUGCCUAAUACAUGCAAGUCGAGCGAACAGAUAAGGAGCUUGCUCCUUUGACGUUAGCGGCGGACGGGUGAGUAACACGUGGAUAACCUACCUAUAAGACUGGGAUAACUUCGGGAAACCGGAGCUAAUACCGGAUAACAUAUUGAACCGCAUGGUUCAAUAGUGAAAGGCGGCUUUGCUGUCACUUAUAGAUGGAUCCGCGCCGUAUUAGCUAGUUGGUAAGGUAACGGCUUACCAAGGCAACGAUACGUAGCCGACCUGAGAGGGUGAUCGGCCACACUGGAACUGAGACACGGUCCAGACUCCUACGGGAGGCAGCAGUAGGGAAUCUUCCGCAAUGGGCGAAAGCCUGACGGAGCAACGCCGCGUGAGUGAUGAAGGUCUUCGGAUCGUAAAACUCUGUUAUCAGGGAAGAACACCUGUGUAAGUAACUGUGCACAGCUUGACGGUACCUGAUCAGAAAGCCACGGCUAACUACGUG
rnacentral:rRNA from 1 species